rnacentral:rRNA from 1 species
GGGGCCCGCACAAGCGGUGGAGCAUGUGGUUAAUUCGACGCAACGCGAAGAACCUUACCAGGGCUUGACAUCCCCUGACCGCGUAUGAAAGUACGUUUUCACCUUCGGGUGACAGGGAGACAGGUGGUGCAUGGUUGUCGUCAGCUCGUGUCGUGAGAUGUUGGGUUAAGUCCCGCAACGAGCGCAACCCCUACGUUUAGUUGCUAACGCGUGAAGGCGAGCACUCUAGACGAACUGCCGUUGACAAAACGGAGGAAGGUGGGGAUGACGUCAAAUCAUCAUGCCCCUUAUGUUCUGGGCUACACACGUGCUACAAUGGCCGGUACAGACGGACGCAAAGCCGCGAGGUGGAGCAAAUCCUAAAAAGCCGGUCUCAGUUCGGAUUGCAGGCUGCAAUUCGCCUGCAUGAAGUCGGAAUCGCUAGUAAUCGCAGGUCAGCAUACUGCGGUGAAUACGUUCCCGGGCCUU